rnacentral:rRNA from 1 species
GUGAAGAAGUAUUUCGGUAUGUAAAGCUCUAUCAGCAGGGAAGAAAGACUCGUAAGAGAGAUGACGGUACCUGACUAAGAAGCCCCGGCUAACUACGUGCCAGCAGCCGCGGUAAUACGUAGGGGGCAAGCGUUAUCCGGAUUUACUGGGUGUAAAGGGAGCGCAGACGGCUUAGCAAGUCUGAAGUGAAACCCCACGGCUCAACCGUGGGCUUGCUUUGGAAACUGUUAGGCUAGAGUACUGGAGAGGUAAGCGGAAUUCCUAGUGUAGCGGUGAAAUGCGUAGAUAUUAGGAGGAACAUCGGUGGCGAAGGCGGCUUACUGGACAGCAACUGACGUUGAGGCUCGAAGGCGUGGGGAGCAAACAGGAUUAGAUACCCUGGUAGUCCACGCGGUAAACGAUGAAUACUAGGUGUUGG